rnacentral:rRNA from 1 species
GACGGGGGGGGCAAGUGUUCUUCGGAAUGACUGGGCGUAAAGCGCACGCAGGCGGUCUGUCAAGUCGGAUGUGAAAUCCCCGGGCUCAACCCGGGAACUGCAUUCGAAACUGGCAGGCUAGAGUCUUGUAGAGGGGGGUAGAAUUCCAGGUGUAGCGGUGAAAUGCGUAGAGAUCUGGAGGAAUACCGGUGGCGAAGGCGGCCCCCUGGACAAAGACUGACGCUCAGGUGCGAAAGCGUGGGGAGCAAACAGG